AUUGAACGCUGGCGGCAGGCCUAACACAUGCAAGUCGAGCGGAUGAAGGGAGCUUGCUCCUGGAUCCAGCGGCGGACGGGUGAGUAAUGCCUAGGAAUCUGCCUGGUAGUGGGGGAUAACGUCCGGAAACGGGCGCUAAUACCGCAUACGUCCUGAGGGAGAAAGUGGGGGAUCUUCGGACCUCACGCUAUCAGAUGAGCCUAGGUCGGAUUAGCUAGUUGGUGGGGUAAAGGCCUACCAAGGCGACGAUCCGUAACUGGUCUGAGAGGAUGAUCAGUCACAGUGGAAGUGAGACACGGUCCAGACUCCUACGGGAGGCAGCAGUGGGGAAUAUUGGACAAUGGGCGAAAGCCUGAUCCAGCCAUGCCGCGUGUGUGAAGAAGGUCUUCGGAUUGUAAAGCACUUUAAGUUGGGAGGAAGGGCAGUAAGUUAAUACCUUGCUGUUUUGACGUUACCAACAGAAUAAGCACCGGCUAACUUCGUG
rnacentral:rRNA from 1 species